ACAGGUGGUGCAUGGUUGUCGUCAGCUCGUGUCGUGAGAUGUUGGGUUAAGUCCCGCAACGAGCGCAACCCUCGACCUUAGUUGCCAGCAUUCAGUUGGGCACUCUAAGGUGACUGCCGGCUAAAAGUCGGAGGAAGGUGGGGAUGACGUCAAAUCAUCAUGCCCCUUAUGACCUGGGCUACACACGUGCUACAAUGGGCGGUACAAAGGGUCGCGAACCCGCGAGGGGGGAGCCCAUCCCAAAAAGCCGCUCUCAGUUCGGAUUGCAGGCUGCAACUCGCCUGCAUGAAGCCGGAAUCGCUAGUAAUCGCGGAUCAGCAUGCCGCGGUGAAUACGUUCCCGGGCCUU
rnacentral:rRNA from 1 species